rnacentral:tRNA from 1 species
GGGUGACUUCGAUCAGGGCGACCACCUUCUUCUCAAGAAGGUUCUCCAUCAGGUUCUUUUCCUGCGCCGCCUGC